rnacentral:sRNA from 1 species
CACACCAAGUGUCACCGAUUAUCUGGCUCUGGUAAGAGGGAACCCAAAACUGACUUGGCCCGCACAAGCUAAAAUAAGCAGCAUGGCCGAACAUAUCAUGCAUUUUGUGAAGGGAAAUACCUUUUGCCGAACGAUGAGCCGGAGAAAGAUUGGAUGGACAUGGUAAAUGAUUAUGCCUGACGCUCAUUGCAUAAGAUCUGACCGGGACACAGAUGCACCGGAUAUACAAAGAGACCUUGGGUGAACUAUUUCUUGCUCCCAUAAGUGGUAGCCCUCACCAUAUUCUUGAUAUGGGAACGGGAACAGGUAUCUGGGCAAUUGAAUGUGCUGAGCAGCAAAUAUCCCAGCGCAGUGGUUUGAGGAAAUGACUUGAGCUCAAUCCAACCUACUCUUGUUCCACCAAAUUGUGUUUUUGAGAUUGACGAUUUUGAGAAAUGGGAAUUGCCAUAUGAAUUUGAUCUCAUCCAUGGGCGUGAGUUGGAUGGUUCAAUCUCCAACUGCGAAGAACUGUGCAGAGGAGCUUUCGGGCAUUUAAAACUGAGUGGAUACUUUGAACUCAAAUCACUUGAGCACAGCUUCUUCUUGGAUGAUGAGAUGCAUAAAAAAGCUGUACACACACUUGAAUGGCAAGAGCAUAUCAUAGAGAGCUGAAAUAAGCUGUUGAAGCCUUUCUGCAGAGCAACUCUCUGCACACAGAGGAUGGGAGAAGCUGACUUUGUCAAUAUCCAAAUUCAAAGAUUCAAGGGCCAUGGCCAGAAUGCAAUAAAUUGAAGCUGUUGGGCAGUUUUGCUUGUCAGGAUAUCUUGGAAGGACUAGAAGCAUUUUCACUCCAGGUUUUCACUUGGGGCUUUCAAUGGUCAACGGAUGAGUUGCAAGUAUAUCUGGCGCAAGUGAGAAAUGAUCUGAAAAGAGAGGAACUUCACAUAUACCGCGAAUUAUAUGUGAUAUACGGGCAAAAGCCGAAGGCGAAAGAGUAGAGAAGAAUGCAUAUUUGGACCUAUCAAUUCCCUUCUAGUUCUUUGCGGAAAUCGCAGAGGGCGCACUAUAGACCAUUAGCAUAGCAUCGCGACCCCC